rnacentral:rRNA from 1 species
GACGAACGCUGGCGGCGUGCUUAACACAUGCAAGUCGAACGGAAAGGCCCUGCUCUUGUGGGGCGCUCGAGAGGCGAACGGGUGAGUAAAACGUGAGUAAACUGCCCCUGACUUUGGGAUAACUUCAGGAAACUGGGGCUAUUACCGGAUAGGAGAUCCUGCUGCAUGGUGGGGGUUGGUAAGAUUCGGCGGUUGGGGAUGGACUCGCGGCAUAUGAGCUUGAUGGUGGGGUAGUGGCUUCCCAAGGCUUUGAAGGGUAGGCGGCCUGGGAGGGUGACCAGCCACCAGGGUACUGAGGGACGGCCCAGACUCGUACGGUACGCAGCAGUGGAGAAUAUGACGCAAUAGGGCGACGCCUGAUACAACAGCGCCGCGAGCGGGAUAACGGCCUUCUGGUUGUGAACCGCUGUCGCCUUUGACGAAGCGUGAGUGACGGUAAUGGGUAAAAAAGCACCGGCUAACUACGUG